rnacentral:rRNA from 1 species
UACGUAGGGUGCGAGCGUUGUCCGGAAUUAUUGGGCGUAAAGAGCUCGUAGGCGGCUUGUCACGUCGGAUGUGAAAGCCCGAGGCUUAACCUCGGGUCUGCAUUCGAUACGGGCUAGCUAGAGUGUGGUAGGGGAGAUCGGAAUUCCUGGUGUAGCGGUGAAAUGCGCAGAUAUCAGGAGGAACACCAGUGGCGAAGGCGACACGCUGGGCCGUACCUGACACUGAGGCGCGAUAGCAUGGGGAGCAAACAGG